UGAUAGCUGUGAAGCGUGAGGUUGCUGUCGUAAGACAGGUUUUCCGUGGAGCGAAUGUCAAGUUAGGAAACUGACGACAA
rfam:Butyrivibrio crossotus CAG:259 genomic scaffold, scf18